CAUUAGAUUAUAGACAAUAUCGUGGCAGAUCAUGGAGGGCAAGUUCAAAUUAUUAUAAAAUUAUCUGGUUCUGCGCAAAAUGGACCAACUACACUUGACGGACCAACAAGGGUAUUAUUUUGUUAUUAAUCUUAUUAUUAUUUGCAUUUGUAUACAUUGGAAGGCCGAUAAUUGCUCAAAUAAUUCUGCCAAAACAUUAACUAAUGAUUUCUCAUCAUCAUCUUCUUCCUCGCGUUGUCCCGGCAUUUUGCCACGGCUCAUGGGAGCCUGGGGUCCGCUUGGCAACUGAUCCCGAUAAUUGGCGUAGGCACUAGUUUUUACGAAAGCCACUGCCAUCUGACCUUUCAACCCAGAGGGUAAACUAGGCCUUAUUGGGAUUAGCCCGGUUUUCUUACAAUGUUUUCCUUCACCGAAAAGCGACUGGUGAUUAUUAAGCUUAGAAUAAAUUUAAAAGUGGAAAAAUUACUGCCUCUACGAACAAUCCAGAGGCCAUGAUUUCGAGUCACACCCAAGGCAGUAAUUUAGCCACUUAAAAUUAUCAUAAUUUUAGCCUCCAGUCGGCCUCUCUACAAUCCAGAAGUGUUCCGCGAUUUUUCGAAUGUCAUCCAGCCAACGAGCCAACGGACGCCAGGCGCUUCUUUCAUCCGAAAGCGGCCACCAAUCUGUCAACAUUUUGGUCCACCGGCCAUCACUCUGUCUGGCUACAUGUUCCGCCCAAUUCCAUUUCAUUGUGGUUUCUACUACAAAAAAAUAUAGCACUCAUGGAGCCCGAUUUUCGAUAAAUUCACGAACUGCCUGAUCUUACCAUCGGCCGGGCCGCUGGCAUACAUACUAUCAUAGUCUUCAAGUUCAAAAGUCCAGUUUUAUACCUAUAAAAUUGUCAUUCCCCGCAGAAAUGCGGUACGACCAUUCUGUUGCAAUUACAAUUUAAAUAAAUUAAAAAAAAAAUCUUAAUAACAUAAUAAUUAUAAAUUUAGAUGGAAAUGGAGAAGUCGUGCGAAAUUGCCUUUUCAUACAAAUGUAGUCCUCAUUUUCCUCUCUGGAUAUUCACAUUAUUGAAAGUAUUUUGACACAAUUUGUUGUAACUAUCAACCACAGCUAUGCAACUACGUUUGUUUUUUAAGGUUCCGUAGUCAACUAGGAACCCUUAUAGUUUCGCCAUGUCCGUCUGUCUGUCUGUCCGAGGCUUUACGCCGUGGUCGUUAGAAAAAGCUGCUAGAAAGCUGAAAUUUGACAUGGAUAUAUAAAUCAAUAAAGCCGACAAAGUCGUACAAUAAAAUAUAAAAAUUUAAUUAUUUAGGGUACCUCCCCUACACUUUAAGGGGGGGGGGGAUUUUUCUUUUGCUUCAACCCUACGGUGUCUUUCAAAACCAAUAGGGGUCUUCAACAAACAUUUUUUGAUAAAGUGAAUAUAUUCGGUGAUAAACGCUCCGAAAGAAAAAACUGUCCUCCUCCUCCGUCUAACUUUUAAACCAUGGGUCAAAAAAAUA